rnacentral:lncRNA from 1 species
CUGUAAAAAUUAACAAAAUUGUCAAUUUUAACCAAAAUCUCGGUUUUUCCCCCCAGCGGACCGCGAGUCGCAGUACGAGGAGGAGGAGGAGCGGGGGCGGGGCCGGAAGCGGAAGGGCCCGCCCAGUGGGCGGGGCCGGCCCCACCCCCCCAAGAAGAAGCGGAAGUAGCGGCGCCGCCCCUCCCCCACCCCCCGAAAUCGCCGCGUUUCGCCCCAAAAAUCCCGGCGGGGGGAGGGGGGGAAAAUUCCAGAAUUUGGGGGAAUUCAGCCCAAAAAUUUUGGGGGAAAUGCCCCGAAAAUUUGGGGGAAAAAACCCAAAAAUAUGGGGGAAUUUAUCCCAAAAAUUUGGGGGAAUUUAUUCCAAAAUUUGGGGGAAAUUAUUCCAAAAAUUUGGGGGGAAAUACCCAAAAAAUUUGGGGGAAAAUGUCCCAAAAUUCUGGGAAAAACCAACCCAGAUUUGAGGAGGAAAAUGGGAAUUUUGGGGGAAAUUAUCCCAAAAUUUUGGGGGGGAAAAAAAUAAUCUCAAAUUUUGGGGAAAAUGUCCCAAAAUUCUGGGGAAAAAAAAAAAAAAAAAAAACAACAAAUUUUGGGGUUUUUCCCAAAUUCCUGCAUUUCCCCCCAAAUCCGGGCCGGGGGGACCCCGAAUUUCCCCGAAUCCGCCCCAAAACGGCCCCGAAAUUCCCUUUUUUUGUUGUUUCUGUAUUUAUGGGGGGCUCCCCCUUUUUGGGGGGAAUUCUCCCGAUUUUGGGGCUCCCCC